CACCGCCCGUCACACCAUGGGAGUCGAUUGCUCCAGAAGUGCCUGAGCCGACCGCAAGGAGGCAGGGCCCAAGGAGUGAUCGGUAACUGGGUG
rnacentral:rRNA from 1 species